rnacentral:rRNA from 1 species
UACGGAGGGUGCAAGCGUUAAUCGGAUUUACUGGGCGUAAAGGGCGCGUAGGCGGCCACCGCAAGUCGACUGUGAAAUCUCCGGGCUUAACUCGGAAAGGUCAGCCGAUACUGCGGGGCUAGAGUGCAGAAGGGGCAACUGGAAUUCUCGGUGUAGCGGUGAAAUGCGUAGAUAUCGAGAGGAACACCUGCGGCGAAGGCGGGUUGCUGGGCUGACACUGACGCUGGAAGCGCGAAAGCUAGGGGAGCGAACGGG